rnacentral:rRNA from 1 species
ACAGCAGUAGCCGCGGUAAUACAGAGGGUGCGAGCGUUAAUCGGAUUUACUGGUCGUAAAGCGUGCGUAGGCGGCUUCUUAAGUCGGAUGUGAAAUCCCUGAGCUUAACUUAGGAAUUGCAUUCGAUACUGGGAAGCUAGAGUAUGGGAGAGGAUGGUAGAAUUCCAGGUGUAGCGGUGAAAUGCGUAGAGAUCUGGAGGAAUACCGAUGGCGAAGGCAGCCAUCUGGCCUAAUACUGACGCUGAGGUACGAAAGCAUGGGGAGCAAACAGGAUUAGAUACCCGUGUAGUCCCUGUCUCUUAUAC